rnacentral:lncRNA from 1 species
CCAUGACUAGUUCUUAAAAUUGAAAUCUCUCUCAAGUUUUGGCAUGACUGUUAUUAAUUAAGAUUUGCUCUAAACCUAAACUUGUGGGAAGAGUACUUGAUCUGAAGUCUAAGUCAUUAACGGAUAUGAUAUGGGAAGGUUGAGCUGCUGUUUAUCUGUUCCUAGAGAUGCUAGAAUUCUGGAGAAUUUUAUCUUUGAAAAUCUUUAAAAUGUUGCAUGAUGAGUUCCUGUAUGAUGAGAGUUUAAAUUCCUACCACAGCCAUAUAUACAUGCUUGUUAGACUAUGAACCACACAUUUACUUUUUAAUGCUUAUGAGCAUUGAGUGUGGUCAAGCUGUGUAGACCCUUAGGAGCUUGUCAUGUGGUUAAAUCAAGAUUCACUUGCACGUUCACUCACACAUGGUACUUCUACUCUAGAAGUACCAUCCAUAUAUAUCCAUCCAUUUCCAUCUCCAGAACCACCCAAAAAUAUUCUACUCCUAAUCCGGGAGAGAAUAGCCAAAAACAUUCUCCUAUUUCUGUUUUUCCCUGUGAAAAAAAAUGCUCAAGUUAUCUUGGUUACUACCACUUGCUAUAUUAUUUUAGGAGAUGAGUGCUCUAAAAAAAGAAAGAAAAACAGAAAGAAUGCGAGGAAAUAAAAGGGGCAAGUGCCCGGAACCUCGAAUGAAAAGAAAAAGUGAGACGAGAGGUAAAAAUGGACAAGUGUCCGACAGUAGAAUUAGGGGUACAAGAUACCCACCUGAGAGAAAAGAAAAAUAAAAUAUAGAGCAUCUCAUUCUCCUCAAAAAGUUUCAAAAGAGCAAGAAAGGUAUGUAUCCCCUCAAAAGAGCAUAAGUAGAAUUAGACUUCCACCAUUGUUAUCACCAUCAUCACCAUACACCAUUCAUUCGCCACACAUGCACAUCUUGAUUUGACUUAUUGACUUGUUCUUCUGGAUCCAUGGUCUGACUAUGCAAUAAAUGUCUUGUAAGUAUGUAUUAGCUGUCUCCCACCUAUGAGCUCCAGAUAUCAAAACCUUAUUAGAGUAGGGUGAGAGAGAAGGCAAUGCCACUAUGCCUCAUACCAAAAAUACCACAUACUUUGAGAGAAGGCAUACACCAUUACUGCCUUGGUAAGGAUCCAGAAAUACCACAAAAGAGAGACUAGAGAAAGUCAUACAAGGAAUCUCUGAGUUUUAUUUGAAAAUCUGCAAAAACUCCAGAGCUAUAGUUGAUCAAGAACAUGAGACAUGGCGCUUGAUUAGACCGUUCUAUCUUUUAACUGCUCAAGACACAAGUGAUGGUUGCAAGCCCCAUGGUGGAAGGUAAUAUGAGUAAAUUUAAAUCUUAACAGUUUACCCUAACCCAAAGAUGAGAUCUUGUUUGAACGCAUAUGUAUCUUUAAGGUAUGAAACCACUGCAGAAACUCUUGAGUCCAUCUUUGCUCAGGGACGAGCAAAGGUUAAGCUUGGGGGAGCUUGUUGACGGUCCUUAAUGCUCAUAUUUAACCAUCAACUAAACAUGGAAAAGGAUCCAAAUGCAACCAACACCUAGACUUAGGGUUUUAUCUGACAGAAUUCUACAAGUUUUGUUGUUUGUCUAUUUCUGCAGGGGGUUAUCAGGAAAUAUGGAAGAAAGGCCCACACGUCCGGUUUACAUAGAGAUAUUAACGUGCCGCACAAUUUUCUAUCAUCUAGUACACUCCAGAAGCCACGGGACCGAACGGGAAGGCAAUCGGGCUCGGAGGCAGGGCGCCCGCCCUACUCUCCUGGGCGCCCGCCCAGCUACAGUGCCCAAUGAGGACUCUCUUUCGGGACAACGCUCCACCGACCUAAAGGAUCAAGGAAAACCGUGCGAUUAAUGUCGGUUUGAUCCGAUGGCCCAGAUUCACUUGAAGGGACUAUAAAACCAGACCCCCUGGCCCCUGGAGAUCAUACCUCUUCUACAGAAUCAAAGCUAGGGUUUCAAUUCUUCAUCCAAGUAGAGAGGAUCCCUCUAGUUCUUCUAGUUCUACCUCUAGUUCAUCUAGAUCUAGUUCUAGUUCAUCUAGUUCUAGUUCUAGUUCCUCUAGUUCUAGUUAUAGUUGUAAUCUAGAAAAUAGGGAGAGAGAAGAGGAGAGCGGAGGAGGAGCCGGAUCUGUCGGAUCUUCCUCAACAUUGUACUUUUUCAGCAUCUGGUUCGUUCUUCAUCAUUCUCCAGGUUCUUCAAUUCAUAACUCCUGAGUUCUCUAAUUACUUUUAUUUACAUUCAAGUUAUUUAUUGGAUUCCCGCUUGCAUCAAGUGCUCUAAUCUUUGAAACAUUAGAGUAGUAAUUAAUAGAUUAGACGUGGUGUUUAGUCUUGCAAUUACCUGGAAUUGCACCCAAUCCUGCGGAUUGUUGUGGUAGCCUUAGGGUAGUGACAGCCCUAAUGGUCGACGUAUUCCACCUCGUUCGGAUCGGUGUUUGUAGGACCGUAGUCGGAGCUUCCUAGCCCCCUUCUCAUCUCUUUCUGUGGUUAGUGUUCUGAUGUCCCGAUAUAGAUAAUCUUGAAGUAAUUCUUGAUUCUUAGAUCAACUAGAGAACUCUCAGGAAACUUCCUCUCUUCCCACCAAAAAUAAUCAUAUAGUUGUCCUUGGGCGAUCUUGGAUCUUAAUUAGUACACUCACGUUCCCAGUGGAAAAUCGAUACUCUGGAAUACUCCCGGGUGAAGGCUACAUCGGUAUUGUUGACGGUCCUUAAGUAUCAAAUUUAAUUAUGAAAUAAACAAAGAAAAGGAUCCAAAUGAAAUCAACAUCUAGACUUAGGGUUUUAUCUGACAGAAUUCCACGAGUUUUGGUGUUUGUCUAUUUCUGCAGGGGGCUAUCAGGAAAUAAGGAAGAAAGGCCCACAUGUCAGAAUUACAUAGAGAUAUUAACGUGCCGCGUAAUUUUCUAUCAUCUAGAAGACUCCAGAAGCUACGAGAACGAACGGGAGGCCGAACGGACCCGGGGGCAGGGCGCCCGCCCACUCCCCUUGGGCGCCCGCCCAGGUGUUUCCACCAAUCACAGAAAGGAGUACACCAUUGGAAAGAUCUCGUCGAGCUGAUCGAAAUGCAUAUAUUAUUUGCUAUAUUUGGAGUUCGGAAUCAAGAGAUAUUAAUAAAAGAAGGACUCCACAUAAAAGAGCUGCGGGAUUAAUUGGGCCCAAAUCAGAUUUUGGUCCAUUAAGGCGUAUGUGCAUUUUAAUGAGAUAUGGUGGAAAGUUUAGUACCACAUCGCCUACCGACCCCAAAAUGCAUAGAAGGGGAGGACUAUAUAAGCAAGGCCCCUGGCCCCUGGAGGAGGGCAAGAAAUUAUCAUAGAGAUUGAGGGGUGCCCUCGAAGGAAAACCUCUUCUCUAAAUAAUAUUUCUUUUUAGGCUUAGCAACCAAUGUAAGGUAGAAAUAGAUCUUCUAGUUUCCACUAGAUUGAGAGAUAUAGAGUGGAGGUGUAGAUUGGAGGAAGCCCGGCCUGUCGGUGUCUACUCCAAGCUUGUACCUGCGGGAUCAAGUUCUCCUAACCCGAAGCUUGCUCCUAGGAUUCUUCAGUAAUUCGACUUCUAAAUUCUAGUAAGUUCUUGUUUUAUUGUUCUUAUGGUUUAUGAGUUUACUUUAAUCUCUUCGCGUAGAGUUUAGAGUAAUCAUUACUGGCGUAAACGUGGUGUUUAGGCUGGGGUACUCAUAGAUAUUCCCUGACUAGCUGGACCGUGGUAGUAGUGAGGAACGUGACAAUUCCGAGUUACCUUUGUAGAUCACAUCUCGUUAGCAGGAAGGAUAGGGUUUAUAGGUGCGGGUCGAACAUCCUUUGUGUUGUCUAGAUUCCGUUAGCCUCCCCAUUAGAACAGUAGAUCAUCCUUACCAAGGUUAGAAGGAGACUACGGUUGCAGUCUUCUCUAUUUAUCACUCACAUCGAAAGACAUUCUUUGUGCCUAAAGGGAUAGUAGCAAUAGAUUUGGUUAGUCAGAUGCACCCUUUCUCCCAGUGGUAAAAAUAUAAAUACGAUAACUCUGGAUAAUCUCCCGGGUGAAAUGCUCACCGAUAUCCGUGCGCUUGCGGAUCAAUUCCUUAUUGCGUUCCCAAAUAUCAACAAGCAUUUCUGGCGCCGUUGCCGGGGAGAAAGACGGUUUGCUGAGAUAACUUUGAGUCUUGCUAUUAUCUUGUAUUAUACUUUUAUACUUUUAUUGUUUUAUCUUUUUAUUUUUAUGGAUAACUCAAAUUCCAUACCUAUUAUUAAAUUCUUUGCACCUUCGGAAACCAGCCAUAGACCAUGGGAGUCAACACGUCCUGCCCCUAAUUAUGAUGUGUGUCCGGAGUUGAUUGCAAUAGGUCAAAACCAACCCUUUUCUAUAGCUGAGGUCCUAUCUUUUAAUCAAGAAGAUAAUGCACUUUUAGCCACACCUAGGGAAUCUGUUAAUCUUUCUAUAAAUUCUGGUUUAGACCUAGCCCUACAAGACCAUGUUUUUCCUAGAUAUUUUCACAUUGGUCUUAAUCAUAUAACCUUUGGUAGAGUCCUUCUUUCUUUAUCUAUUAGUAAAUGAAGGUAUGUCUUCAUUUGUGGACAUCCUUCUUGUACUAGUCUUCAUAGAAUAAUCUUAGAGAUAGAGAAGGAAUCAUCUCCCAGACGAGGAAAGGAAGUUUCAAUAGCCGAUUUCCAAACAUUUCAAUCCCUUAAUUCGGCUAUCCAUCCCAUCCUUGAGCUUAAUAAUUUCUACUAUGCUCUUUCUCUUGAACCUCCCGAUAAUCCUAUGAACCUCUCUAGACAUCCCAUGCAUAAGAAGGAGGAUCGAGAAGAGCAACAUCAAUGGCUAGAGGGCAUUAAAAAUCCAUGUGCUAUCACCAUUGAAUGGUUAGAUAAAACAAACUUGAGAGACAAUCCUAGAGGAAUUUUAAGCAUUCAUGAAGAAUCAUCGUUGGAGUUUAAGAAUGAGAGAAACAACAGUGAGCAUGGAAGUUAUUUCAUAAAUAUCUCACCCAGUCCUUGCUCAUAUAAAACAUCUCUCCAAUCAAUUUGUCUCUCCAUCCUUACCACAUUUGAGAUCUCCAACCCCCUCUUCCUCUUCAUUUAUAAAAACUUUAAAAGGGCGGUUGUCGAUGCAUAUGUCUAUAAUAAAUAUUGCAGAUCUCGUUGAGUUGAUCUUGAUAUAGGUAGGUGUUGGAGGGGAAACCACUUCACCAACAUUACUUGAUGGUUUCCCAAGGACAUGCUUAGUGUCCUAAAACAAGCACUUAUCAGAUCAUAACAUGAACUUCUAAUUAUUUGCAACAUUGCCUUGUGUAUUGAGCAUAUAAAGAUAAUUGUAGAAAUAUUCCUUCGGGUAUUCUUGUCACUAACCUUUCCAGGAUUGGAGCAAGAAGAUCGGAUGAAUGACAAGCACAGGGUAUGUCCAACCAACCAUCACACAAUAUUGAAUUAAAUUCAUCCAAACUUGAAUUUUGUAAAAUUCAAGCUUGGGGGAGUACUUUACAUAAAAACAUCUUUUGCCAUGUUGCUACGUUGGUUGUCCUUACCUUUGAGACAUGCUCAAUUUGUUAAAUACUAAUUACACUACUUCAUCUCCGCUUAAGUAGAUCUCUAUAAAUGCUCUCAUGCUACCUUUAUUUGCUUUAGUAUAUGUCUAGGUUUGGAAUAGUUUCAUUUAUCUCUUAAUUAAGGAUGGUGCUUAGUUUAGGAAUGAUGAUCUUACUUCCAAGGGGUUUUAAAUUAAGCAUGGUGCUUAGGUUAAAAUGCCCUUCUAAAUCAAAUUAGACAUGGUGUCUAGGUUGAUUUUUAAGCCGAUAGUAUGCUAUAGUAGAUAUGGGAUAUUUUGUUGGACUAACCCCUACAGAAAAACUUUCAAUAUCAACCUGGGAAGUCCUGAGAUAAAUUCGCAUUGGAGAUGAAGAAAGUGAUACAUGAAGUUUAACAAUUUGCACAAGAAAGACGUGGCUCAUAAGAGAUGAUUCAUGGAGGGUGUCACAAACACGAUGCACAACCGCUAAGAAAGGAAAGCUUCCACAAGGUGAUACUGUACCGUCACUCUUCAAGUAAGGUAACACCUUAAGGUACUUAACUAUCGCUUUUAUAAGCUUCUCCUUGGUUCUAGCAUUCACAUAAAUAAAGAGACAAACAUGUAUGAUUUAUAACUCCAGAUUAACCAACUCAAUUAAAUCAACAUGUUUAGUCCUUUAAUCUUUGUUCUUAGUACUACCUUCGUGAUCCCACGCUCCUAAACAUAUAAGCUAAUAUGUUGCACAUUCAAUAUUUGGAAGAUAUAAAUAAAACAUAAAUAUAGAUAGAUUAUCUUUCCAUUAGGUUGAGCCAUCUGAUCUGACAAAUGUUUCAAAUACUACACUCAUGAUCUUAUUAUCCAUCAACUUUGUCUUGCUCACUAUGCUUAAGGUUAGAGAAGAACAAAUACACUUUUGGUUCUGUUGGUGUUUUCCACCAACAGAGCCCAUGCACUUGAUCUCUGCCUUGUCCCUAUGAACAGGUACACUUCAAGCAAAACAUGGAGGAGUUUCACAACUCCAAGACUCCACCAAGUGAAGGACCUGGAUCUAUGAGCACAAACUCACUGAGCAGGAUAUUGCCAACACCAUACUUCGAACUACUGGGCAAAAAAGAACAUGGGUGACACCGUAUCAAGAGGUGUAGACGUCAAGGUCCACACCUAAUCAAAUGAUGCACCUAAAGGAUGAAGAUGGUGGAAAGUCUUGUCCAAAAGACUUAAAACAUUGGAUCCUUGUCGGAAGAGGUCAACAUCGUCGACUCAGGUCACCUUUCUUGAUCAAGAAGGACGACCCUGGUGUUCCAAGCAUCGAGUGCGCAAUCAAUGGAUACUCUUUUCAGAAGACACUCUACGACACCGGAUCUGACGACAACAUAAUGGCCGCAGUCACUUAUCAGCUCCUGCAUGGAACCAUGCCCCUACAACCAAUAUAUUCAGCUCCAGAUGAUUUUCAGGUCAUUGACAUGGGAGAAGACGAGUAUGAUCCACCCACCAUCCUUGGAAGACUGUUCCUCAGCACUAUCAAAGCCAUUAUCUAUAUUGGAACCAGAGAAGUCCACAUGCACUUCCCCUCUGAGAAGGUACGCCACUACUUUAAUGAUUCUAACUAUAUAGUUGAAGACUCUAAGCAGGUCAGGACAAGAAGACGACGCAACCGCAACCAGAGGAGGAAAAUCAUCAAGAACGGAUGGGUAGACUACGAUGGAAAAGUGAUAAGGACUGAAGACAUACAGCUUGAACAGAACUGUCCUGAGGAGACCGUAGCACCGAGUCAGGUGUGGAGGGAGAAGAUAGUUAUACACGAAGAGAGGCGCCACCGGAAUCACCGACUACGCCACCUAGCGAAUCCCAGGAUGACUGAGAAAACAGAGAGUCCCGUUCGGAGGACUUAAAAAUACCGAACGUCUUGCCAAAAGGUAAACUUGGUAGUUACCUUUUCCUUUCAAUUAUUCAAUUAUAAUUUGCUUAGUUAAUCAGGUUCAUGCUAUCUUGAAAAGAAAAUAAAAAUGUUAAAUAGUAAGCCCCAUGUGAGUAUGCUCAUGGCAUAAAACCCAUAAGUACAUUCACUGUGGUGGCAUAAAAAUAAAAUAAAUAAGUUUUCAUCUUACAAUAAAAAUAUAAAAUAAUAAUAAUAAUAAUAAGUGUAUGAUCCUGCUAAAUAAAUAACAUUUAUUAAGGAAGCUCAACAUGAUGAAGGCUAGAUAUUUAUGCUAACACUUAAUUAGUUCCACAAGCUUUGUUGUCUAUUUGAGCUCCACAGAAUUUAAGAAUCAAGAAGACUAGCAGACGGAGGACAUUCUAAUCGCUGUCAGAAUGCUGCUGACUUUCAAAUACACCUCUGCCACCUGCUAGCUACAUCAAGAGAAAUUACGUUAAAAUUCAGCUUGGGGGAGAGCACCCUCAUUAUUCUCGCUAAGUAUUUCUACCUAUCUUUAUACUUAUAUUAUGUUAGAAUAUUAAAAUACAUAAACUAUGAAAAAACAAAAUAAAGAUUUUGUGCUUAUAUAUAUCUUUUGCUUAGUAUGUUUAAUAAAUAAAUAAAGUGGCUAUACUAAUCUGAAUUUUAAUAAUAAAACUCUAGCACGGAUAUGAUGAAUAGUUGCUGUGCCUAAUUUGCAAUUUUCGAGUUCCCUCUCAAGUUUAGACAUAACUGUUAUAAUUUAAAGCUUGCUCUAGAUCUAAACUUGUGGGAUGAAAACUUGAUCUGAAAUCUAAGUUGUUAACGGAUAUGAUAUGGGAAGGUUGAGCUGCUGUUUAUCUGUUCCUAGAGAUGCUAGAAUUCUGGAGAAUUUUAUCUUUGAAAAUCUUUGAAAUGUUGCAUGAUGAGUUCCUGUAUGAUGAGAGUUUAAAUUCCUACCACAGCCAUAUAUACAUGCUUGCUAGACUUUGAGCCACACAUUUACUAUUUACUGCUUAUGAGCAUUGAGUGUGGUCAAGCUGUGUAGACCCUUAGGAGCUUGUCAUGUGGUUAAAUCAAGAUUCACUUGCACGUUCACUCAUAUAUGCUACUUCUACUCCGGAAGUACCAUCCACAUAUAUCCAUCCAUUUCCAUCUCCAGAAUCACCCAAAAAUAUUCUACUCCUAAUCCGGGAGAGAAUAGUCAAAAAUAUUUUCCUAUCCCUGUUAUUCCCUAUGAAAUAAAUGCUCCAAAUAUUUUGGUUACUACCACUUGCUAUAUUAUCUCAAGAGAUGAGUGCUCUGAAAAAAAAGAGAAAAAAAAGAAAAAAAAUAUAUAAACGAAGAAAUAAAAAGGGGCAAGUGCCCGGAACCUCGAAAGAAAGAAAAAGUGAGACGAGAGGUAAAAAUGGACAAGUGUCCGACAGUAGAAAUAGGGGUACAGGAUACCCACCUGAGAGGAAAGAAAAAGAAGAGCAUCUCAUUCUCCUCAUAAAGUUUCAAAAAGCAAGGAAGGUAUGUAUCCCCUCAAAAGAGCAAAAGUAGAAUUAGACUUUCACCAUUGUUGUUACCAUCAUCACCAUACACCAUUCAUUCGCCACACAUGCACAUCUUGAUUUGGCUUAUUGAUUUGUUUCUCUGGAUCCAUAGUUUGACUAUGCAAUAAAUGUCUUGUAAGUAUGUAUUAGCUGUCUCCCACCUAUAAGCUCCAGAUAUCAAGCCUUAUUAGAGUAGGGUGAGAGAGAAGGCAAUGUCACUAUGCCUUAUACCAUAAAUACCACAUAUCUUGAGAGAAGGCAUAUACCAUCAAUGCCUUGGUAAGGAUCCAGAAAUACCACAAAAGAGAGAUAUGAGAGAGUCAUACAAGGAAUCUCUGAGUUUUAUUUGAAAAUCUGCAAAAAACCCCAGAGCUAUAGCUGAUCAAGAAUAAGAGACAUGGCACUUGGCUAGACUGUUCUAUCUUUUAACCUCUCAAGACAGAAGUGACGGUUACAAGUCCCAUGGUGAAGGUAAAGUAAGUUUUAAGUCUUGACAGUUUACUCUAACUCAGAGAUGAGAUCUAAUUUAAAAAGCAUGUGUACCGUCAAUUUUUAAGAUAUUGCAACAACUUCUGGUCCAUAGCUAAGUCUAUCCUUGCUCAGGGACGAUCAAGAGGUAAGCUUGGGGGAGCUUGUUGACGGUCCUUAAGUAUCAAAUUUAAUUAUGAAAUAAACAAAGAAAAGGAUCCAAAUGAAAUCAACAUCUAGACUUAGGGUUUUAUCUGACAGAAUUCCACGAGUUUUGGUGUUUGUCUAUUUCUGCAGGGGGCUAUCAGGAAAUAAGGAAGAAAGGCCCACAUGUCAGGAUUACAUAGAGAUAUUAACGUGCCGCGUAAUUUUCUAUCAUCUAGAAGACUCCAGAAGCUACGGGAACGAACGGGAGGCCGAACGGACCCGGGGGCAGGGCGCCCGCCCACUCCCCUUGGGCGCCCGCCCAGUUGUUUCCACCAAUCACAGAAAGGAGUACACCAUUGGAAAGAUCUCGUCGAGCUAAUCGAAAUGCAUAUAUUAUUUGCUAUAUUUGGAGUUCGGAAUCAAGAAAUAUUAAUAAAAGAAGGACUCCACAUAAAAGAGCUGCGGGAUUAAUUGGGCCCAAAUCAUAUUUUGGUCCAUUAAGGCCUAUGUGCAUUUUAAUAAGAUAUGGUGGAAAGUUUAGUACCACAUCGCCUACCGACCCCAAAACGCAUAGAAGGGGAGGACUAUAUAAGCAAGGCCCCUGGCCCCUGGAGGAGGACAAGAAAUUAUCAUAGAGAUUGAGGGGUGCCCUCGAAGGAAAACCUCUUCUCUAAUUAAUAUUUCUUUUUAGGCUUAGCAACCAAUGUAAGGUAGAAAUAGAUCUUCUAGUUUCUACUAGAUUGAGAGAUAUAGAGUGGAGGUGUAGAUUGGAGGAAGCCCGGCCUGUCGGUGUCUACUCCAUGCUUGUACCUGCGGGAUCAAGUUCUCCUAACCCGAAGCUUGCUCCUAGGAUUCUUCAGUAAUUCGACUUCUAAAUUCUAGUAAGUUCUUGUUUUAUUGUUCUUAUGGUUUAUGAGUUUACUUUAAUCUCUUCGCGUAGAGUUUAGAGUAAUCAUUACUGGCGUAAACGUGGUGUUUAGGCUGGGGUACUCAUAGAUAUUCCCUGACUAGCUGGACCGUGGUAGUAGUGAGGAACGUGACAAUUCCGAGUUACCUUUGUAGAUCACAUCUCGUUAGCAGGAAGGAUAGGGUUUAUAGGUGCGGGUCGAACAUCCUUUGUGUUGUCUAGAUUCCGUUAGCCUCCCCAUUAGAACAGUAGAUCAUCCUUACCAAGGUUAGAAGGAGACUACGGUUGCAGUCUUCUCUAUUUAUCACUCACAUCGAAAGACAUUCUUUGUGCCUAAAGAGAUAGUAGCAAUAGAUUUGGUUAGUCAGAUGCACCCUUUCUCCCAGUGGUAAAAAUAUAAAUACGAUAACUCUGGAUAAUCUCCCGGGUGAAAUGCUCACCGAUAUCCGUGCGCUUGCGGAUCAAUUCCUUAUUGCGUUCCCAAAUAUCAACAGGUAUCCGUGCGCUUACGGAUUUUACUGUUUGCGUUUAAAAUACCCAACAAGCUUUCGGGCGGCAACGGCGCCAGAAAGCUUGUUGGGUAUUUUAAACGCAAAUAGAAAAAUCCGCAAGCGCACGGAUACCGAUGUAGCCUUCACCCGGGAGUAUUCCAGAGUAUGGAUUUUUCACAGGGAACGUGAGUGUACUAAUUAAGAUUCAAGAUCGCCUAAGGAUAACUAUAUAAUUGUUUUUGGUGGGAAGAGAGGAAGUUUCCUGAGAGUUCUCUAGUUGAUCUAAGAAUCAAGAAUUACUUCAAAGAUUAUCUAUUUCGGGACAUCAGAGCACUAACCACAGAAAGAGAUGAGAAGGGGGCUAGGAAGGUCUGACUACGGUCCUACAAACACCGAUCCGAACGAGGUGGAAUACGUCGACCGUUAGGGCUGUCACUACCCUAAGGCUACCACAACAAUCUGCAGGAUUGGGUGCAAUUCCAGGUAAUUACAAAAAUAAACACCACGUCUAAUCUAUUAAUUACUACUCUAGCGUUAUAAAGACUAGAGCACUGGAUGCAAGCGAGAAUCCAAUAAAUAACUUGAAUGUAAAUAAAAGUAAUUAAAGAACUCAGGAAUUAUGAAUUGAAGAACCUGGAGAACGAUGAAGAACGAACCAGUUGCUGCAAAAGUACAAUGUUGAGGAAGAUCUGACAGAUACGGCUCCUCCUCCGCUCUCCUCUUCUCUCUCCCUAUUUUUUAGAUUACAACUAGAACUAACUAGAACUAGAACUAGAGGAACUAGAACUAGAACUAGAUGAACUAGAACUAGAUCUAGAUGAACUAGAGGUAGAACUAGAAGAACUAGAGGGAUCCUCUCUACUUGGAUGAAGAAUUGAAACCCUAACUUUGAUUCUGUAGAAGAGGUAUCAUCUCCAGGGGCCAGGGGCCUUGCUUAUAUAGUCUUUUCAGAUGAAUCUGGGCCCUCGGAUCAAACCGACAUUACUCGCACGGUUUUCCUUGAUCCUUUAGGUCGGUGGAGCAUAAUCCGCGAAACGUCUCCUGAUUGGGCACUGUAGCACAGCGGGCACCCAAGGGGGGAGGGCGGGCGCCCUGCCCUCGGGCCCGAUCGGCCUCCCGUUCGUUCCCGUGGCUUCUGGAGUCUUCUAGAUGGUAGAAAAUUGCACGACACGUUAAUAUCUCUAUGUAAACCCGACGUGUGGGCCUUUCUUCCGUAUUUCCUGAUAACCCCCUACAGAAAUAGACAAACACCAAAACUUGUGGAAUUCUGUCAGAUAAAACCCUAAGUCUAGGUGUUGGUUGCAUUUGGAUCCUUUUCCAUGAUUAGUUGAUGGUUAAAUAUGAGCAUUAAGGACCGUCAACAAGCUCCCCCAAGCUUAACCUUUGCUCGUCCCUGAGCAAAGAUGAACUCAAGAGUUUCUGCAGUGGUUUCAUGCCUUAAAGUUAUACAUGCAUUCAAACAAGAUCUCAUCUCUGGGUUAGGGUAAUUGUUAGGAUUUAAACUUACCCAUAUUACCUUUCACCAUGGGGCUUGCAACCGUCACUUUUGUCUUGAGCAGUUAAAGGAUAGAACGGUUUAGUCAAUCGCCAUGUCUCUUGUUCUUCGAUUAACUAUAGCACUGGAGUUUUUGUAGAUUUUCAAAUAAAACUUAGAGAUUCCUUGUAUGACUCUCUCUAGUCUCUCUUUUAUGGUAUUUCUGGAUCCUUACCAAGGCAGUAAUGGUGUAUGCCUUCUCUCAAAGUAUAUGGUAUUUUUGGUAUGAGGCAUAGUGAUAUUGCCUUCUCUCUCUCCCUACUCUAAUAAGGUUUUUGAUAACUGGAGCUCAUAGGUGGGAGACAGCUAAUACAUACUUACAGGAGAGUAGGGCGGGCGCCCUGCCUCCGAGCCCGAUUGCCUUCCCGUUCGGUCCCGUGGCUUCUGGAGUCUUCUAGAUGAUAGAAAAUUGUGCGGCAUGUUAAUAUCUCUAUGUAAACCUGACGUGUGGGCUUUUCUUCCGUAUUUCCUGAUAACCCCCUGCAGAAAUAGACAAACACCAAAACUUGUGGAAUUCUGUCAGAUAAAACCCUAAGUCUAGGUGUUGGUUGCAUUUGGAUCCUUUUCCAUGAUUAGUUGAUGGUUAAAUAUGAGCAUUAAGGACCGUCAACAAGCUCCCCCAAGCUUAACCUUUGCUCGUCCCUGAGCAAAGAUGGACUCAAGAGUUUCUACAGUGGUUUCAUACCUUAAAGAUACAUAUGCGUUCAAACAAGAUCUCAUCUUUGGGUUAGGGUAAACUGUUAAGAUUUAAAUUUACUCAUAUUACCUUCCACCAUGGGGCUUGCAACCGUCACUUGUGUCUUGAGUAGUUAAAAGAUAGAACGGUCUAAUCAAGCGCCAUGUCUCAUGUUCUUGAUCAACUAUAGCUCUAGAGUUUUUGCAGAUUUUUAAAUAAAACUCAGAGAUUCCUUGUAUGACUUUCUCUAGUCUCUCUUUUGUGGUAUUUCUGGAUCCUUACCAAGGCAGUGAUGGUAUACGCCUUCUCUCAAAAUCUGUAGUAUUUAUGGUAUAAAGCAUAGUGGCAUUGCCUUUUCUCUCACCCUACUCUAAUAAGGCUUUAAUAUCUGGAGCUCAUAGGUGGGAGAUAAAGUAUACAUACUUACAAGACAUGUAUUGUAUAGUCAAACCAUGGAUCCAAAGAAACAAAUCAAUAAGUCAAAUCAAGAUGUGCCUGUGUGGCGAAUGAAUGGUGUAUGGUGAUGAUGGUGAUAACAAUGGUGAAAGUCUAAUUCUACAUGUGCUCUUUUGAGGGGAUACAUACCUUUCUUGCUCUUUUGAAACUUUCAGGGAGAAUGAGAUGCUCUAUAUUUUCUUUUUCUUUUCUCUCAAACGGGUAUCUUGUACCCCUAAUUCUACUGUCGGACACUUGUCCAUUUUUACCUCUCGUCUCACUUUUUUCUUUUCUUUCGAGGUUCCGGGCACUUGCCCCUUUUUAUUUCCUCGUAUCUUUCUUUUUUUUUCUUUUUUUAGAGCACUCAUCUCUUGAAAUAAUGUAGCACGUGGUAGUAACAAGAUAACUUGAGCAUUUAUUUCACAAGGGAAAACAGAAAUGUUUUUGGCUAUUCUAUCCCUGAUUAGGAGUAAAAUAUUUUUGGGUGGUUCCGGAGAUGGAAAUGGAUGGAUAUAUGUGGAUGCGUACUUCCGGAGUAGAAGCAGCAUGUAUGAGUGAACGUGCAAGUGAAUCUUGAUUUUAACCACAUGACAAGCUCCUAAGGGUCUACACAGCUUGACCACACUCAAUGCUCAUAAGCAGUAAAAAGUAAAUGUGUGGCUCAAAGUCUAGGAAGCAUGUAUAUCUGGCUGUGGUAGGAAUUUAAACUCUCAUCAUACAGGAACUCAUCAUGCAACAUUUUAAAGAUUUUCAAAGAUAAAAUUCUCUAGAAUUCUAGCAUCUCUAGGAACAGAUAAACAGCACUCAACCUUCCCAUAUCAUAUCCGUUAACGACUUAGACUUCAGAUCAAGUACUCUUCCCACAAGUUUAGGUUUAGAGCAAAUCUUAAUUAAUAACAGUCAUGCCUAAACUUGAGAGAGAUUUCAAUUUUAAGAACUAGUCAUGGCAGAGCAACUAUUCAUCAUUUCCAUGUGAGAGCUUAUCAUGAGGGUUCAAAGCAAACUUUAUUUAUUUAUUUAUUUAGCAAACUAAGCAAAGAUAUAUAUAAGCACAAAAUCUUUAUUUGGGUUCUUAUGAUUAUGCAUUAUUUUAUUAUCAGAGUAAAGUAUAAACGUGAGUAGAAUACUUAGCUGGAUAAAUGGGGGUGCUCUCCCCCAAGCUAGAUUUUGACGUAAUUUCUUCUCAUGUAGCUAGCAGGUGGUGGAGGUGUAUUUGAAUGUCUGCAGCACCUUGGCAGCGAUUAGGAUGUCCUCCGUCAGCUGGUCUUCUUUGAUCCUUGAAUUCUGUGGAGCUCAAAUAGACAACAAAGCUUUGUGGAACUAGUUAAGUGUUAGCAUAAAUAUCUAGCCUUUAUUAUGUUGAGCCUCCUCAAUAAAUGUUACUCUCUUUAGUAGGAUCAUAAAUUUAUUUUUAUAAUUUUAUUUUUAUAGGAUAGGAAUAUAUUUAUUUCAUAUUUUAUGCCACCACAGUGAAUGUACUUAUGGGUUUUAUGCCAUGAGCAUACUCACAUGGGGCUUACUAUUUUUUAACAUUUUUAUUUUCUUUUCAAGAUGAUAUGAACCUGAUUAACUAAGCAAACUAUUUUAAAUAAUUGAAAGGAGAAAGAUAACUACCAAGUUUACCUCUUGGCAAGGCGUUCGGUGUUUUUAAGUCCUCCGAACGGGACUCUCCGUUUCUUGAGUCAUUUUGGGAUUCGCUGGAUGGCGUAAUCGGUGGUUCCGACGGUGCUUCCUCUUCGUGUAUAACUAUCUUCUCUUUCCACACCUGACUCAGUGCUACGGUCUCCUCAGGAUAGUUCUGUUCAAGUUGUAUGUCUUCAGACCUUACAACUUCUCCUUCAUAGUCUACCCAUCCGUCCUUGAUGAUUUGCCUCCUCUGGUUGUGGUUGCGUCGUCGUCUUCUUGUCCUGACCUGCUUAGAGUCUUCAACUAUAUAGUUAGGGUCAGUAAAACAGUGGCGUACCUUCUCUGAGGGGAAGUGUAUGUGGACUUCUCUAGUUCCAAUGUAUAUGAUUGCUUUAAUGGUGCUAAAGAACGGUCUUCCAAGGAUGAUGGGUGGAUCGUACUCGUCUUCUGCCAUGUCAAUAACCUUCAAUCUUUCAGAAUGUCUGAUCUGCCAUCUGGAGCUGAAUGUAUGUUGGUUGUAGGGACAUGGUUCCAUGCAGGAGCUGAUAAGUGACUGCGGCCAUUAUGUUGAUGUUAGAUCUGGUGUCGUAGAGUGUCUUCUGAAAAGAAUAUCCGUUGAUUGUGGACUCGAUGCUUGGGACACCAGGGUCGUCCUUCUUGAUCAAGAAAGGUGACUUGAGUUGACGAUCUUGACCUCCUUGAGCUGCAGUGACCAUCUUAGCUGACUCGGUACACAUUUGCUUGUUCUUGUUCCUCCUGUUGGUCCUCUUCCUUGGUUCAUGUCGGGAUUGCUCUGGGAUUUGUGUAGUCUUGUUUCUUGAAGGAAAACGUCUCCUUCUUCCCCUUGAUGUAGAAACUGAUCUUGGCAGCACUAGCGUAGAUGACAGCUCCCGAGGUGUUCAGGAAUGGCUUCCCCUAGGUAUAAUGUUGACGCUGGAGCCAAAGUCGCAGAGUGCUUCUAGGAAGUCCACCAUGCCGAUGGAGAUUGGGAUGACGGGGCAUCCUAGAUUGUCUCUCUUGACCGGCAGAAGGUCACUAAUUACUUCCACAAUGGUGUUACUCUAGUAGUUACAUCCUCAAGCAUCUCAGGGCAGUGUUUGCAUGAGUGUCCAGUAUCUCCAGCGUGUUUGUGCUCAUAGAUCUAGGUUCUUCACUUUGGUGGAGUCUGGGAGUUGUAAAACUCCAUCAUAUUUUGCUCAAAGUGUACCUACUCAUAGAGACAAGGCAGAGAUCAAGUGUAUGGGCCCUGUUGGUGGAAAACACCAACAGAACCAAAAGUGUAUUUGUUCUUCUCUAACCUCAAGCAUAGUGAGCAAGACAAAGUUGAUGGAUAAUAAAAUCAAGAGUGUAGUAUUUAACAUUUGUCAGAUUAGAUUGCUCAACCUUAUGGAAAGAUAAUCUAUCUAUAUAUAUGUUUUGUUUAUAUCUUCCAAAGAUUGAGUGUGCAACAUUUUAGUUCAUAUGAUUAGGAGUAUGAGAUCACAAAGGUGGAAGGACUAAACAUAUUGAAUCGAUUGGGUUGGUUAAUCUAGAAUUGUAAAUCAUACAUGUUUGUCUCUUUUAUUCAUGUGAACGCCAGAACCAAGGAGAAACUUAUAAAAGUGAUAGACAAGUACCUUAAGAUGUUACCUCACUUGAAGAGUGAUGGUACAGUAUCACCUUGUGGAAGCUUUCCUUUCUUAGCGGUUGUGCAUCAUGUUUGUGGCACCCUCCAUAGAUCAUCUCUUGUGAGCUAUGCCUUCCUUGUGUAAAUUGUUAAACUUCAUGUGUCUCUCUCUUUGUCUCCAAUGUGAAUUUAUCUCAAGACUUCCCAGGUCGAUAUUGAAAGUUUUCCUGUAGGGGUUAGUCCAAUAAAAUAUCCAAUAUCUACUAUAGCAUACUAUCGGCUCAAAAAUCAACCUAGACACCAUGUCUAAUCUGAUUUAGGAGGGCAUUUUAACCUAAGCAUCAUGCUUAAUUUAAAAUCCCUUGGAAGUAAGAUCAUCAUUCCUAAAUUAAGCACCAUGCUUAAUUAAAAGAUAAAUGAAACUACUCCAAACCUAGACAUAUACUAAAGCAAAUAAAGGUGGUAUGAGAGCAUUUAUAGAGAUCUACUCAAGUGGAGAUGAAGUAGUGUGAUUAGUAUUUAACAAAUUGAGCAUGUUUCAAAGGUAGGGACAACCAACAUAGCAACAUGGUAAAGGAUGUUUUAUGUAAAGUACUCCCCCAAACUUGAAUUUUUGCAAAAUUCAAGUUUGGAUGAAUUUAAUUCAAUGUUGUAUGAUGAUUGGUUGUACAUACCUUGUGCUUGUCAUUCAUCCGAUCUUCUUGCUCCAAUCCUGGAAAGGUUAGUGACAAGAAUAGCCGAAGGAAUUUUUUUACAAUUAUCCUUAUAUGCUCAAUACACAAGGUAAUGUUGCAAAUAAUUAAAAGCUCAUGUUACGAUCUGAUCAGUGCUUGUUUUAGGACACUAAGCUUGUCCUUGGGAAACCAUCAAUUUGUAUCUGCGAAGUGGUUUCCCCUCCAACGCUGACCUAUAUCAAGAUCAACUCAACGAGAUCUGCAAUAUUUAAUAUAGACAUAUGCAUCGACAACCGCCCUUUUAAAGUUUUUAUAAAUAGAAAGGAUGAGGGGGUUGGAGAUCUCGAAUGUGGUGAUGUUGGAGAGACCAAUGGAUUGUGAAGAUGUUGCAUAUGAGCAUGGAGUAAAUGAAGUGGCUAUGAAAUAAAUUCCAUGCUCAUUAAUGCUUAGAGAGAAAUCCAUGUGGUGUGGUGAAAAUGGUAAGGUGAAUGUGGUAAAAAAGGGAAAGAAAAAGGAUACACGCACGACUUGGUUCGAAACUAGCACAGCUACCGUUCCCCGGCAACGGCGCCAGAAAGCUUGUUGGGUAUUUUAAACGCAAACAGAAAAAUCCGCAAGCGCACGGAUACCGAUGUAGCUUUCACCCGGGAGUAUUCUAGAGUAUCGAUUUUGCACAGAGAACGUGAGUGUACUAAUUAAGAUCCAAGAUCGCCCAAGGAUAACUAUAUAAUUAUUUUUGGUGGGAAGAGAGGAAGUUUCCUGAGAGUUCUCUAGUGAUCUAAGAAUCAAGAAUUACUUCAAAGAUUAUUUAUAUCGGGACAUCAGAACACUAACCACAGAAAGAGAUGAGAAGGGGGCUAGGAAGCUCCGACAACGGUCCUACAAACACCGAUCCGAACGAGGUGGAAUACGUCGACCGUUAGGGCUGUCACUACCCUAAGGCUACCACAACAAUCCGCAGGAUUGGGUGCAAUUCCAGGUAAUUGCAAGACUAAACACCACGUCUAAUCUAUUAAUUACUACUCUAGCGUUUCAAAGACUAGAGCACUUGAUGCAAGCGGGAAUCCAAUAAAUAACUUGAAUGUAAAUAAAAGUAAUUAGAGAACUCAGGAAUUAUGAAUUGAAGAACCUGGAGAACGAUGAAGGACGAACUAGUUGCUGCAAAAGUACAAUGUUGACGAAGAUCCGACAGCCCCGGCUCCUCCUCCGCUCUCCUCUUCUCUCUCCCUAUUUUCUAGAUUACAACUAGAACUAACUAGAACUAGAACUAGAGGAACUAGAACUAGAACUAGAUGAACUAGAAUUAGAUCUAGAGGAACUAGAGGUAGAACUAGAAGAACUAGAGGGAUCCUCUCUACUUGGAUAAAGACUUGAAACCCUAACUUUGAUUCUGUAGAAGAGGUAUGAUCUCCAGGGGCAGGGGGGUUUGGUUUUAUAGUCCCUUCAAGUGAAUCUGGGCCGUCGGAUCAAACCGACAUUGAUCGUGUGGUUUUCCUUGAAGUAUUAGGUCGGUGCAGCAUUGUCCGCGAAACGUGUCCUGAUUGGGCACUGUAGCUGGGCGGGCGCCCUGGCUCCGAGCCCGAUUUCCUUCCCGUUUGUUCCCGUGGCUUCUGGAGUCUUCUAGAUGAUAGAAAAUUGCGCGACACGUUAAUAUCUCUAUGUAAACCCGACGUGUGGGCCUUUCUUUCAUAUUUCCUGAUAACCCCCUGCAGAAAUAGACAAACACCAAAACUCAUGGAAUUUUGUCAGAUAAAACCCUAAGUCUAGGUGUUGGUUGGAUUUGGAUCCUUUUCCAUGAUUAGUUGAUGGUUAAAUGUGAGCAUUAAGGACCGUCAACAAGCUCCCCCAAGCUUAACCUUUGCUCGUCCCUGAGCAAAGCUAAAAUCAUCAAGAAAACAGGGGUUACUUUUAUGCCUCUUACUAUAGGGUUUUUAAGGUCUUAAGUGAUUGAAAAAUAGAACAAUCAAGUCAAGCACUAUGUCUCAAGUUCUUCUGUCUUACCUUUGCUCUGGAGUUUUUUUAUAAGUCUGCAAAAUAAAACCAAGGCAUUUGCCUUCUUCUCGAAAGAUAUAUAUAAGUAGAGCUUUAAAAGUUUUAGCAUACUUACUUUGCAUUUUGCUAUGUCAACGCUCGGAGUAAGGGAGAGGAAUGUCAUACUCCUAGAUCAAGACCUUUGACCUUUUUGAAAAGUUUGUCAUCUCUUACUGGCAUAUUGCUUAUUAGAGGGACCAUGGGCUAUCAUUUUUUUUCUCUUUUUUUUUAAAGUGGGCAGCAAGUUCCCCUAAUUCCACUGUCGGACACAUGUCCAUUUUUUUCCACUCAGGAGGGUAUCUUUGUACCCCUAAUUCUACUUCGGACACUUGUCCAUUUUUACCUCUCGUCUCACUCUCCUUUUUUUCGAGUCACAUUUUUGCAUAGUCCCAGGCCUCUAACGCAAUGAUACUUCGGAAGAGUGAAUCUUUUAUAUUUUUAAAACAAAAAGAUCUUGAUCUUGGGAGCAUGAUAAUUCUCUCAACCAAAACUACAAGAAUUAACAAUGGCUUGAACAAAGCAAGUGCCCAUGGUUUUAAUAUUUAUAUCUUAUAAGACUCUAGGUAUUAUGAUCUCAUAUAUUUUUUUAUGAAUUUUUAGAGUUUCAAAAGAUAAAAUCUCUAGAACUCUAGCAAAACUUGGAACAAGUUAAAUAGUAGCUCAGACCUUCUCAUAUCAUGUUUGUCAAUUACCAAGACUUGAAUCAAACUUUUUUUUUAUUUUUAUUUAAAACUUAGGAUUACACAAAACUAUUGUAUAUUACUCAAAAGAAAAACUUUGUUUGGUUUCAUGGUUAUGCAUUUUUAUUUAUUUAUUUAUUUCCGAAUACUAGAAAAUAAAACCAAAGGAAGAAAAGUAAUACUUAUCUAGAUACACGUGGGGGUGCCUCCCCCAAGCUGGAUGUUGACAUAGUCGUUCACUCUGGUGGCCUGCAUGUUCGGUCUCACUCUUCUUAAGCCUCAAAAUCCUGCACAACCCAAAUAGACAACAAAACUUGUGGAACAUGUUAAGGGUUAGGUAAUUGCCUAGAGCUUAUGAGAGCUUAAUGUGAGAAUUCUAUGAAGUCAAUCACAUCAAGUUCCUCUACCAGGUUGUUUUGUGGCUCGAGAUAGAUUUUCAAGCGUUGACCAUUUACCUUAAAAGUGUUACCUAUGUCGUCUUGGAUGGUAAUGGCUCCAUGAGUUGAAGUGUCAAUAACCUUGUAUGGUCCAUCCCACUUACUUCGUAGCUUACCAUGCCCAAAGAGCUUAACUCUUGAAUUGAAUAGUAGAACCUUAUCUCCAGGCUUAAACUCCUUGUGCUUGAUUCUCUUAUCAUGCCAUCAUUUUGUUCUUUCUUUAUAGAUCCUUGAAUUGUGGUAGGCUUUCUCUCUCCAUUUUUCUAGCUCAGAUAGUUGCAUCAGACGAUUCUCGCUAGCAAGGUGGUGAUCCAUGUUCCAUUUCUUGAGUGCCCAAUGAGCCUUAAACUCUACUUCUACAGGCAAAUGACAAGUUUUUCCAUAUACAAGUUGAUAAGGUGACAUGCCUAUGGGUGUUUUGAAUGCAGUUCUAUAUGCCCAAAGUGCAUCAGGAAGUUUGUCCUUCCACCCCUUACCCAUCUCAUCUACGGUCUUCUGUAAAAUAUUUUUGAUUUGUUUGUUAGAUGUUUCGGCUUGACCGCUAGUCUGAGGAUGGUAUGGUGUUGCGACGUUGUGUCGAACUCCAUGAUCGGCUAGGUACUUCCGGAAGAUUUUAUCGAUGAAGUGGGAACCUCCAUCGCUUAUAACUAUCCGGGGUAUACCAAAGCGAGGAAAGAUUACUUCAUGGAACAUUCUCUUGGCAUGUUUUGAAUCAGCUGAUCGACAAGGUAGGGCUUCUACCCAUUUGGACACAUAGUCCACAGCUACUAAGAUAUACUCGCAAUUCCCAGACAUAGGGAAUGGCCCCAUGAAAUCAAUGCCCCAAACAUCGAAAAGUUCUACUUGAAGAUUAUUUGUGAGAGGCAUUUCAUUUCGUGAGUUAAUAUUCCCAUGUUUUUGGCACCGGUGGCAUCUCCUGACAAAGUCCUUUGUAUCUUCAUACAUCGUUGGCCAGAAAAAACCACUUUGCCAAAUUUUAGCAUGUGUCCGAAAUGCUCCAUAGUGUCCUCCAUAUGGCGAGGCAUGGCAUCUUUCCAUAAUUUGAGUAGCCUCAGCCAUAGGAACACACCUUCUCAAGAGUCCAUCAGCGCAGACUCGGAAAAGAUAUGGCUCAUCCCAAAGGUGGAAACGACUAUCGUGAAGCAACUUCCUUUUGUUUGCACCAGGUGGGACAUAGCCUUUUACUAUAAAGUUUACGAUGUCUGCGUACCAUGGAUCUGCAUGUGUUAUCUUAAGUAGGGUGUCAUCCCUUAGGUAGUUAUUUAUGGGAAGUUCAUCAUGUGUUUCCUUAUAUUGAAGCCUAGACAAGUGGUCGGCUACGGAAUUCUCAACUCCCUUCCUAUCUCGGAUUUCUAUGUCAAAGUCUUGGAGUAGAAGAAUCCAUCGAAUUAGACGAGGCUUAGCAUCUUUCUUAGUGAGGAGGUACUUGAGAGCAGCAUGGUCUGAAUAGAUGAUUAUCUCUGCCCCCACUAAGUAAGAUCUAAACUUGUCAAUAGCAAAGACAACAGCCAAAAGCUCUUUUUCAGUUGUAGUGUAAUUGAGCUGUGGUCCAGACAAGGUUUUGCUAGCGUAGGAUAUGGCAUAAUGCUUUCUAUCCUUGGUUUGUCCUAAAACGGCACCAACCGCAAAAUCGCUAGCAUCACACAUGAUCUCAAAAGGAAGAUUCCAAUCAGGUGGUUGGAUAAUCGGAUCUGAGAUGAGUGCUUUCUUAAGAGUUUGAAAAGAUUCAUGACACUCAUCACUAAAGAUGAAAGGUGCGUCCUUAGCUAGGAGAUUAGUUAGGGGUCUAGCUAUUUGAGAGAAAUUCUUGAUAAAGUGUCUAUAGAACCCUGCAUGUCCCAAAAAGCUACGGAUUCCUUUCACAUUCGUGAGAGGUGGAAGUUUUUCAAUAACUUCAAUCUUUGCUUUGUCCACCUCUAUACCACGUUCGGACACUUUAUGUCCUAGCACUAUUCCUUCCUGAACCAUAAAAUGGCAUUUCUCCCAGUUCAGGAUUAAGUGCUUUUCUUCACAUCGCUGCAAGACUCUAUCUAAAUUCUCCAAACAAUGAUCGAAGGUUUUGCCAUAGACGGUAAAAUCAUCCAUGAAAACCUCCAUGAUUUUCUCAAUUAUGUCCGAGAAAAUAGACAUCAUGCACCGUUGGAAAGAAGCUGGAGCAUUGCACAAUCCGAACGACAUUCGUCGGUAUGCAUAAGUUCCAUACGGGCAUGUAAAGGUAGUCUUUUCUUGGUCAUCUGGGUGGAUUGGGAUUUGGUGAUAUCCAGAAUAACCAUCAAGGAAACAAAAGAAAGAGUGGUUUGCAAGCCGUUCCAACAUUUCAUUAAUGAAGGGUAACGGAAAAUGAUCUUUCUUUGUAGCCUUAUUGAGUUUUCGAUAGUCAAUACACAUACGCCACCCAGUGACAAUUCAUUGAGGGAUGAGUUCAUUCUUCUCAUGCCUAACGACCGUCAUUCCUCCUUUCUUUGGCACUACUUGGACAGGGCUAACCGACUCACUAUGUGGCACAGGAUAAAUAAUCCCAGCACGAUAGAGUUUGAGGACCUCUUCCUUAACAACCUCUCGCAUAGCAUUGUUAAGUCUCCGUUGUGGUUCCCUUGAAGGUGUAGAAUUGGGAUCAAUAGGGAUACGAUGAGUACAGAGAAUGGGACUAAUGCCCGUGAGAUCUUCGAGAGAGUAGCCAAAUGCUGAUCUAUGCCUUUCAAGAACAGUGAUAAGUUGUUGUGUUUCAUAAUCGGUAAGCUUGUCACUGAUAAUUACUGGAGUUUUUGGGUUGUUGUGCAAAAAGACAUAUCUAAGGCCAGAAGGAAGAGGCUUUAGCUCUAUUGAAGGAGGUGAAGGUUGUUCAUUUUUGUCUAGCUCAACGGGUUCUACCAACUCUUCUUCUUCUUGAACAAAGUGUUCAUGAUUAAAGAAUGGUUGGGCCAUCUCCUCUUGAGUCAGCAUUAAGAUCUCCUCAAUAGGAUCUGGUUCAAGUUUGGGUUCCACUAUCGUGUUAAUUGAUCUAGCAAGAGAAACAACAAUAGUGGAAUUCCCAACCUUGAAGUCUAAAUGACCUCGUUGUGGUUGUUCUUGUAGAAGUUUCAUGAUUGGUCUGCCAAUCAAGAGAGGAAUCUCCGGUAUGUCGUAAAUGUGAAAAUCUAGACAUAUUCCAGAGUCCUUGAUUCUAACAGGAACUGCCCUUAAUACCCCAUGGCUUUCUAGAAUUAAUCUAGAUGGCCUUUAUAAAAGUUUUUGAGAUGGGGUUAUGGACUCGUUGGGAUAAAGGGUGUCGGCUAACUCCUUGGAAAUAACAUUUAUCCCAACAUAUGGAUUGUAGUGGACCUUCCUAGUGGACCGUCUAAUUUGGCAUAGAAGAAUGGUUGAAGGAGUGAUGAUCUGAGCUACCUCAGGAGACAGCUCUGCUUCUGUUAGCCAUUCAUAACUCAGAAUAGCCGAAAGGCUUUUGAUGUGUUCUAUAUCAACAGAUUCUACUCUUAGAAUGGAUUGAGUGGUCCUUGCUAGAGGUCGUGUUUGGAUAGGAAAAUUCGAGGUGUUUCCAUAAUCUUCAAAAAGAUCUUCCUCAAAUUCAAAGGGAUGCUCUAAAGGUGGUGGUUCAUCAUCCCUUAGUUGGUUUUGCCUUCCUUUAUCAGGUGGUUUCUCUACAACCAAAUUAAUGGAUGGGUCAGGUGGAAUUUCUAAAUCGGUUGCAAGUUCCUCAUCUUUUAGUUUAGGGUCAGGCUCGACUUCUUUCUCUUCUUCAGGAAACUCAUCAUAAAUGCCUAUGUAAGGGGUAUUUUCAAGGAUUCUCUCUAGGAUAGCUCUCCCCUCAUCUAUGAGUUUGUGUGUGAAUGAGCCUCCUGAAGCAAUGUCGAGGUGAAGAGCAGCCUCCUUGCUUAGACCACGAUAAAAGUGGUAGUACAGUACAUGGUCAGGCAGGGAAAGGUUUGGACCGGAAUUGGUAAGGCUUGUGAACCUAGCCCAAGCUGCUCCUAAUGUUUCCUUCUCUCUUUGUUUGAAUGUAAGAAUUUGAAUUCUAAGGUCAGCGAUGCGAAAAAGUGGGAAGAAAGCGAGACAAAAGGUGUCCCAAAGUUCAUCCCAACUUCCAUUAACGCCUCCUACAGAAUGAGCAUACCACUUUUUUGCUCUUCCCAAAAGGGAGAGUGGAAAUAAUUUCCAUUUAAGGGUUUCUUGUGUCAUGCCAGAAAUAGAUCGGCAAGAGCACAACUGCUCAAAUUCUCUAAGAUGGGUGUAUGGAUCUUCAUCUACUUGCCCAGAGAAGGGUUGCUCCUGAAUCAUGGCUAUUAGAUCAAGGCCGAGGUCAUAGCCAUCUGUAAGAAUUGGAUGUGAUGAUGGUGGUGGCUCUAAUAACUCGCCCUUUGGAGCAAAGAAUUUAUAGAUAGGAGUGAAAUCCAUGUGGUAUGGUGAAAAUGGUAAGGUGAGUGUGGUAAAAAAGGGAAAAGAAAAAGGAUACACGGACGACUUGGUUCGAAACUAGCACAGCUACCGUUCCCGGCAACGGCACCGGAAAGCAUGUUGGGUAUUUUAAACACAAACAGAAAAAUCCGCAAGCGCACGGAAACCGACGUAGCUUUCACCCGGGAGUAUUCCAGAGUAUCGAUUUUCCACAGGGAACGUGAGUGUACUAAUUAAGAUCCAAGAUCGCCCAAGGAUAACUAUAUAAUUAUUUUUGGUGGGAAGAGAGGAAGUUUCCUGAGAGUUCUCUAAUUGAUCUAAGAAUCAAGAAUUACUUCAAAGAUUAUUUAUAUCGGGACAUCAGAGCACUAACCACAGAAAGAGAUGAGAAGGGGGCUAGGAAGCUCCGACAACGGUCCUACAAACACCGAUCCGAACGAGGUGGAAUACGUCGACCGUUAGGGCUGUCACUACCCUAGGGCUACCACAACAAUCCGCAGGAUUGGGUGCAAUUCCAGGUAAUUGCAAGACUAAACACCACGUCUAAUCUAUUAAUUACUACUCUAAUGUUGCAAAGAUUAGAGCACUUGAUGCAAGCGGGAAUCCAAUAAAUAACUUGAAUGUAAAUAAAAGUAAUUAAAGAACUCAGGAUUAUGAAUUGAAGAACCUGGAGAACGAUGAAGAACGAACCAGUUGCUGCAAAAGUACAAUGUUGAGGAAGAUCCGACAGAUCCGGCUCCUCCUCCUCCGCUCUCCUCUUCUCUCUCCCUAUUUUCUAGAUUACAACUAGAACUAACUAGAACUAGAACUAGAGGAACUAGAACUAGAACUAGAUGAACUAGAACUAGAUCUAGAUGAACUAGAGGUAGAACUAGAAGAACUAGAGGGAUCCUCUCUACUUGGAUGAAGACUUGAAACCCUAACUUUGAUUCUGUAGAAGAGGUAUGAUCUCCAGGGGCCAGGGGGGUCUGGUUUUAUAGUCCCUUCAAGUGAAUCUGGGCCGUCGGAUCAAACCGACAUUGAUCGUGUGGUUUUCCUUGAAGUAUUAGGUCGGUGGAGCAUUGUCCGCGACACGUGUCCUGAUUGGGCACUGUAGCUGGGCGGGCGCCCAAGAGAGUUGGGCGGGCGCCCUGGCUCCGAGCCCGAUUUCCUUCCCGUUUGUUCCCGUGGCUUCUGGAGUCUUCUAGAUGAUAGAAAAUUGCGCGACACGUUAAUAUCUCUAUGUAAAACCGACGUGUGGGUCUUUCUUUCAUAUUUCCUGAUAACCCCCUGCAGAAAUAGACAAACACCAAAACUCGUGGAAUUCUGUCAGAUAAAACCCUAAGUCUAGGUGUUGGUUGGAUUUGGAUCCUUUUCCAUGAUUAGUUGAUGGUUAAAUGUGAGCAUUAAGGCUUGUUGGGUAUUUUAAACACAAAUAGAAAAAUCCGCAAGCGCACGGAUACCGAUGUAGCUUUCACCCGGGAGUAUUCCAGAGUAUCGAUUUUCCACAGGGAACGUGAGUGUACUAAUUAAGAUCCAAGAUCGCCCAAGGAUAACUAUAUAAUUAUUUUUGGUGGGAAGAGAGGAAGUUUCCUGAGAGUUCUCUAAUUGAUCUAAGAAUCAAGAAUUACUUCAAAGAUUAUUUAUAUCGGGACAUCAGAGCACUAACCACAGAAAGAGAUGAGAAGGGGGCUAGGAAGGUCUGACUACGGUCCUACAAACACCGAUCUGAACGAGGUGGAAUACGUCGACCGUUAGGGCUGUCACUACCCUAGGGCUACCACAACAAUCCGCAGGAUUGGGUGCAAUUCCAGGUAAUUGCAAGACUAAACACCACGUCUAAUCUAUUAAUUACUACUCUAAUGUUGCAAAGAUUAGAGCACUUGAUGCAAGCGGGAAUCCAAUAAAUAACUUGAAUGUAAAUAAAAGUAAUUAAAGAACUCAGGAUUAUGAAUUGAAGAACCUGGAGAACGAUAUAGAACGAACCAGUUGCUGCAAAAGUACAAUGUUGAGGAAGAUCCGACAGAUCCGGCUCCUCCUCCUCCUCCGCUCUCCUCUUCUCUCUCCCUAUUUUCUAGAUUACAACUAGAACUAACUAGAACUAGAACUAGAGGGACUAGAACUAGAACUAGAUGAACUAGAACUAAAUCUAGAUGAAGUAGAGGUAGAACUAGAAGAACUAGAGGGAUCCUCUCUACUUGGAUGAAGAAUUGAAACCCUAGCUUUGAUUCUGUAGAAGAGGUAUGAUCUCCAGGGGCCAGGGGGUCUGGUUUUAUAGUCCCUUCAAGUGAAUCUGGGCCGUCGGAUCAAACCGACAUUGAUCGCACGGUAUCCUUUAGGUCGGUGGAGCAUAAUCCGCGAAACGUGUCCUGAUUGGGCACUGUAGCUGGGCGGGCGCCCAUGAGAGUUGGGCGGGCGCCCUGCCUCCGAGCCCGAUUUCCUUCCCGUUCGUUCCUGUGGCUUCUGGAGUCUUCUAGAUGAUAGAAAAUUGCGCGACACGUUAAUAUCUCAAUGUAAACCCGACGUGUGGGCCUUUCUUUCAUAUUUCCUGAUAACCCCCUGCAGAAAUAGACAAACACCAAAACUCGUGGAAUUCUGUCAAAUAAAACCCUAAGUCUAGGUGUUGGUUGCAUUUGGAUCCUUUUCCAUGAUUAGUUGAUGGUUAAAUGUGAGCAUUAAGGACCGUCAACAAACUCCACUUGAGUAGAUCUCUAUAAAUGCUGUCAUGCUACCUUUGUCUAUUUACUAGUAAGUGUUAGUUUGGAAGUACUGCACAUACUUCUAUUGGCUUUUAAAUUAAGCAUGGUGCUUAGGUUAAACAACCUUCCUUAAUUUGAUUAGACAUGGAGUCUAGUUCGGUUAUUGAACUAAAAAUUGCUUGUGUAUACAUUGGUAUAUUUUUGUCGGACUAACCCCUACAGAAAAACUUUCAAUAUCGAUUUGGGAAGUCCUGAGAUAAACUCACAUCUGAGACGAAGAGAGUGACACAUGAAGUUUAACAAGUUGCACAAGAAGGACAUAGCUCAUUCAUCAUAGAGAGAUGAUCCAUGGAGGGUGCCACAAACACGAUGCACAACCGCUAAGCAAGGAAAGCUUCCACAAGGUGAUACUGUACCAUCACUCUUCAAGCAAGGUAACAUCUUAAGGUACUUGACUAUCACUUUUAUAAGCUUCUCCUUGGUUCUGGCAUUCAUAUAAAUAAAAGAGACAAACAUGUAUGAUUUACAACUCUAGAUUAACCAACCCAACUGAUUCAACAUGUUUAGUCCUUUAACCCUUGUUCUUAGUACUACCUCCAUGAUCCCACACUCCUAAUCAUAUGAGCUAAAAUGUUACACAUUCAAUCAUUGAGAGAUAUAAAGAAAAAGACAUAUACAUAGUUAGAUUAUCUUUCCAUAAGGUUGAGCGAUCGGAUCUGACAAAUGUUAUAAGUGCUACACUCAUGAUCUUUUCAUCCAUCAACUUUGUCUUGCUCACUAUGCUUAGGGUUAGAGAAGAACAAAUACACUUUAGGUUCUGUUGGCAGUAACCUGCUCAGUGAGAGUUUUAUAACUCUCAGACUCUACCUGCCAACGCCGCAUUUCGAACUGCUGGGCAAACGAAGAAUAUGGGUGACACCGUAUCAAGAGGUGCAGACAUCAAGGUCCGCACCUGAAUCAAAUGACGCACCUGAAAAAUGAACACGGUGAGAAGUCUUGUUAAGAAGACUUAAAACAUUGAACCCUCGCCGAAAGGUAAGAUCGGUAGUUAUCCAUAUUUAUCCUUUCUGCAUUCCCUUUUCCCUUUAAUUAUUUACUUUCCUUAAAUAGAUUAUUAGUUAAUCAUGCUAUCUUGAAAAGAAAAUAAAAAUGUAAAAAAAUACUAAGCCCCAUGUGAGUAUACGAGUGGCAUAAAACACAUAAGUACCUUCACUGUGGUGGCAUAAAAAUAAAAUAAAUAUUUCUUUUCUGCUUUAUAAAAUAAAAAUAUAAAAACAGGGAGUAAUAUUUAUUGAGGAAGCUCAACAUGAUGAAGUCUAGAUAUUUAUGCUAACACUUAAUUAGUUCCACAAGCUUUGUUGUCUAUUUGAGCUCCACAGAAUUUAAGAAUCAAGAAGACUAGCAGACGGAGGACAUUCUAACCGCUGUCAGAAUGGUGCUGACUUUCAAAUACACCUCUGCCACCUGCUAGCUACAUCAAGAGAAAUUACGUCAAAAAUCAGCUUGGGGGAGAGCACCCCCAUUUAUCUCGCUAAGUAUUUCUACCUAUCUUUAUACUUAUAUUAUAUUAGAAUAUUAAAAUACAUAAACUAUGAAAAACCAAAUAAAGAUUUCGUGCUUAUAUAUAUCUUUUGCUUAGUGUGUUUAAUAAAUAAAUAAAGUGGCUAUGCUAAUUUGAAUCAUAAUAAUAAAACUCUAGCAUGGAUAUGAUGAAUAGUUGCUCUGCCUAAUUUGCAAAUUUGAAGUUCUCUCUCAAGUUUAGACAUAACUGUUAUAACUUAAAGCUUGCUGUAGAUCUAAAUUUGUGGGAUAAAAACUUGAUCUGAAAUCUAAGUUGUUAACGGAUAUGAUAUGGGAAGGUUGAACUGCUGUUUAUCUGUUCCUAGACAUGCUAGAAUUCUGAAGAAUUUUAUCUUUGAAAAAAUCUUUAAAAUAUUGCAUGAUGAGUUCCUGUAUGAUGAAAGUUUAAAUUCCUACCACAGCCAUAUAUACAUACUUGCUAGACUUUGAGCCACACAUUUACUAUUUACUGCUUAUGAGCAUUGAGUGUGGUCAAGCUGUGUACACCCUUAGGAGCUUGUCAUGUGGUUAAAUCAAGAUUUCACUUGCACAUUCACUCAUACAUUCUACUUCUACUCCGAAAGUACCAUCCACAUAUAUCCACUCAUUUCCAUCUCCAAAACCACCCAAAAAUAUUCUACUCCUAAUCCGGGAGAGAAUAACCAAAAAUAUUUCUGUUUUUCCUUGUGAAAUAAAUGCUCAAGUUAUCUUGUUACUACCACUUGCUAUAUUAUCUCAUGAGAUGAGUGCUCUAAAAAAAGGAGGAGAGAAAAAAUAUACGAGGAAAUAAAAAGAGGCAAGUGCCCGGAUCCUCGAAAGAAAAAGAAAAAGAGUGAGACGAGAGGUAAAAAUGGACAAGUGUCCGACAGUAGAAUUAGGGGUACAGGAUACCCACCUGAGAGGAAAGAAAAAAAAUGAAAGAUAGAGCAUCUCAUUCUCCUCAUAAAUUUUCAAAAAGCAAGGAAGGUAUGUAUCCCUUCAAAAGAGCAAAAGUAGAAUUAGACUUCCACCAUUGUUAUCACCAUCAUCACCAUACACCAUUCAUUCGCCACACAUGCACAUCUUGAUUUGACUUAUUGACUUGUUUCUCUGGAUCCAUGGUUUGACUAUGCAAUAAAUGUCUUGUAAGUAUGUAUUAGCUGUCUCCCACCUAUGAGCUCCAGACAUUAAAGCCUUAUUAGAGUAGGGUGAGAGAGAAGGCAAUGUCACUAUGCAUUAUACCACAAAUACCACAUAUCUUGAGAGAAGGCAUAUACCAUCACUGCCUUGGUAAGGAUCCAGAAAUACCGCAAAAGAGAGAUUUAGAGAGUCAUACAAGGAAUCUCUGAGUUUUAUUUGAAAAUCUGCAAAAACUCUAGAGCUAUAGCUGAUCAAGAAUAAGAGACAUGGCACUUGGCUAGACUGUUCUAUCUUUUAAC